AUCCCUUAUAUUAAAAAAAAGACCAUAGCUAAGCUAUGUAUCCGCUCUUAGAAGUUUGUAUCUCGUGUAGUAGUAGUAGACGUAAAUGUUUAACUAGCUUCUUAUUGAUGACACGUAGUCGUAACUGAAAGGUUGAUCGAUCACAAUGUGGCCUGAACAAAGCCCAUGACGAAUGUAACAGCAGUGAGGAAUCUUGGUCAAUAGCCGCAAGGCUGAACCAGCAACUUGGAGGAAUGAAUGGCAAUAGCCAAUGCAUUAAUAUGAUGCAAUAUCGAAGUCGAAUAAAAUUCUGGGUAGACUAUGAUAAUGACAUUAUCUAUCUAGGAUGUCUUGACCAAACUACGUGCCAGCAGUCGCGGUAAUACGUUAAAGACGAGUGUUAUUCAUGUUUAAUCGGUUUAAAGAGUCCCAAGACUGUUAAUAAAGCCUAACGGGACACAUUAACUAGAGUUAUAUGAAAGGGGGCUGAGAGGUACUGUCGGGUGGAGAGAUAAAAUUCAAUUAUACAGAUGAUGGCACCAACGAAUGCGAAGGCAUCCCCUUAUGUAAUAACUGACGUUUUCAGACGAAGGCUUAGGGAAGAAAAAUGGAUUAGAUACCCUCGUAUUCUAAGCAGAAAAUGAUGAAUGUCAUAGGUUGAAGAUAAAUAAUAUUUAUUUUGGUCUAUAAAUGAAAGUGUAAGCAUUCCACUCAAGAGUAAUUUGGCAACAUUGGAACUGAAAUCAUUAGGCCGUUUUUGAAACCAGUAGUGAAGUAUGUUGUUUAAUUUGAUAACCCGCACAAAACCUUACCACUAUUUGUAUAAAUAUUUAUAUAUAUAUUUACAAGUGUUGCACGGCUGUCUUCAGUUAAUGUCGUGAGGCAAGGUUACUCCUAACAAUCAACGCAAACCCUUACUUUAUUUUUAUAUAAAGUUGUUCACCUCUUAUGGGAGAUGCUAAUA
rnacentral:rRNA from 1 species